AUUGAACGCUGGCGGCAGGCCUAACACAUGCAAGUCGAGCGAGCGGCGGACGGGUGAGUAAUGUCUGGGAAACUGCCUGAUGGAGGGGGAUAACUACUGGAAACGGUAGCUAAUACCGCAUACCAUCAGAUGUGCCCAGAUGGGAUUAGUGAGUAGGUGGGGUAAUGGCUCACCUAGGCGACGCUCCCUAGCUGGUCUGAGUGGAUGACCAGACACACGGUAAUUGAGACACGGUCCCGAUGCCUACGGGAGGCAGCAGGGGGGAAUAUUGCACAAUGGGCGCAAGCCUGAUGCAGCCAUGCGGCGGGUGUGAAGAAGGCCUUCGGGUUGUAAAGCACGUUCAGCGGGGAGGCGUUACCCGCAGAAGAAGCACCGGCUAACUCCGUGCCAGCAGCCGCGGUAAGAC
rnacentral:rRNA from 1 species